AGGUGUCUUGGCUAAGGUGUCUUGGCUAAUGUGUCUUGGCUAAGGUGUCUUGGCUAAGGUGUCUCGGCUAAGGUGUCUUGGCUAAUGUGUCUUGGCUAAUGUGUCUUGGCUAAGGUGUCUUGGCUAAGGUGUCUUGGCUAAGGUGUCUUGGCUAAUGUGUCUUGGCUAAUGUGUCUCGGCUAAUGUGUCUUGGCUAAUGUGUCUUGGCUAAUGUGUCUUGGCUAAAGUGUCUUGGCUAAUGUGUCUUGGUUAAAGUGUCUUGGCUAAUGUGUCUUGGCUAAUGUGUCUUGGCUAAUGUGUCUUGGCUAAGGUGUCUUGGCUAAUGUGUCUUGGCUAAGGUGUCUUGGCUAAUGUGUCUUGGCUAAUGUGUCU